rnacentral:rRNA from 1 species
UGAGGAAUAUUGGUCAAUGGACGUAAGUCUGAACCAGCCAAGUAGCGUGCAGGACGACGGCCCUAUGGGUUGUAAACUGCUUUUAUACGAGAAUAAUUUGAUGCACGUGUGCGUUAUUGCAUGUAUCGUAUGAAUAAGGACCGGCUAAUUCCGUGCCAGCAGCCGCGGUAAUACGGAAGGUCCAGGCGUUAUCCGGAUUUAUUGGGUUUAAAGGGAGUGUAGGCGGUUUGUUAAGCGUGUUGUGAAAUUUAGGUGCUCAACAUUUAACUUGCAGCGCGAACUGUCAGACUUGAGUACACGCAACGUAUGCGGAAUUCAUGGUGUAGCGGUGAAAUGCUUAGAUAUCAUGAAGAACUCCGAUUGCGAAGGCAGCAUACGGGAGUGUAACUGACGCUUAAGCUCGAAGGUGCGGGUAUCGAACAGGAUUAGAUACCCUGGUAGUCCGCACAGUAAACGAUGGAUGCCCGCUGUUAGCGCCUGGCGUUAGCGGCUAAGCGAAAGCAUUAAGCAUCCCACCUGGGGAGUACGCCGGCNCGGU